ACUCUACAAGGUGAUGGUGUUCCACCUUUCCCAACCGCCGGCAUUCAGCCGGAUGAUGACGCCUGAUAUACA
rnacentral:ncRNA from 2 species